AGGAAUAUAGUGAUAUUGGAAACAUCGGUUCUCGUCCAAUCACCGAAGUUGAGCAAUGUCGGGCCCGGUCAGUACUUGGGAGGGUGACCACCUGGGAACACCGGGUGCUGUAGGCU